rnacentral:rRNA from 1 species
AGUGUUAUUUAUUGUAGGGGUUUAGUUAAUUUGUUAGAAAUAUUUAUAUUUUAUUAUUUUUUUAGAAAAAAUUGGUUUAAUAAUAGUUUAUUAGUACUGUGAAGGAAUUACUUUAAAUGUUAAAAAGAAGAAUAUUUUUCGUACCUUGUGCAUCAGGGUUAAUUAAAUAGAAGGUUUUUAUUAAUUUUUCUCGAAAUUAAAAGAGCUAAUCAGGUAUUUAUUUUAUUGUUAAAUAAAUAUUUAUAAUGCUUGGUUAGAUGUGAAAUGCUAUUCGCUUUUAAUUAUAUCUAGUUUUCUAAGAAAAAAGUUUAAUUUUAUGUUUAUUAUUGAACUGUUCUAUUUUUAUAGUCUGUUUUUAUUAGGCUUUUAUUUUUAAGGGGAUAAGCUUUUAAGAAUAUUUUUAUAAUAAAUUAUUUGUUGAAUAAAUUUUAGGAUUAAAAUUUUCCAUUGAUUAAAAAAUGUUAUAAUUGAUUAUUUAAGGAAUUUUAUUUAUAUUUUAUUUAAAUUUUUUAUUAGGACUUUAUAUGUAAUUUUAUCUUAUAAUUGAUAAUGGUUAAAUUAGUAUAGAUUGUUGUUUAAAUUAUUUUUUAUUUUAAGGUAAGUUUAAGGAACUCGGCAAAUAUGCUUUUCACCUGUUUACUAAAAACAUGUCCUUUUGAUUAUAAUUUAAGGUCUAGCCUGCCCACUGAUUUUUAAAUGGCCGCGGUAUUUUGACCGUGCAAAGGUAGCAUAAUCAUUAGUUUUUUAAUUGGAAGCUGGAAUGAAUGGUUGGAUGAGAAAGCGACUGUCUCAGGCUUACUUUUUUAGAAAUUUAUCUUUAAGUUAAAAAGCUUAAAUGUUAUUAAAAGACGAGAAGACCCUAUAGAAUUUAAUAUAUAUUAAUUUAAUUAUUAUUGGAUUUGGGUUAUUUUUAUUUUAAUAAUAUAUUUUGUUGGGGUGACAGAAAAAUUAAUUGAACUUUUUCUCUAUUGUUUCAUUGAUUAGUGUUUUAUUGAUCCAGAAAUUUUUGAUUAUAAGAAUAAAUUACCUUAGGGAUAACAGCGUAAUUUCUUUAGAGAGUUCUUAUCGAAAAAGGAGAUUGCGACCUCGAUGUUGGAUUAAAGUUAAUUUCUGGUGCAGAAGCUAGAAUAUUAGGUCUGUUCGACCUUUGAAACUUUACAUGAUCUGAGUUUAAACCGGUGUGAGCCAGGUUGGUUUCUAUCUUUAAUUAAUUAGAGUGCUUUAGUACGAAAGGACCAGGCAUUUGAUUUAUAAUUUUGAAAUUGAA